rnacentral:rRNA from 1 species
AGAUUGAACGCUGGCGGCAGGCCUAACACAUGCAAGUCGAGCGGCAGCACGGAUACUUGUACCUGGUGGCGAGCGGCGGACGGGUGAGUAAUGCCUAGGAAUCUGCCUGGUAGUGGGGGAUAACGCUCGGAAACGGACGCUAAUACCGCAUACGUCCUACGGGAGAAAGCAGGGGACCUUCGGGCCUUGCGCUAUCAGAUGAGCCUAGGUCGGAUUAGCUAGUUGGUGAGGUAAUGGCUCACCAAGGCGACGAUCCGUAACUGGUCUGAGAGGAUGAUCAGUCACACUGGAACUGAGACACGGUCCAGACUCCGUACGGGAGCAGCAGUGGGAAUAGUUGGACAAGUGGGCGAAAGCCUGAUCCAGCCAUGCCGCGUGUGUGAAGAAGGUCUUCGGAUUAGUAAAGCUAACUUUAAGUAGGGAGGAAGGCAAGUUACCUAAUACGUAUCUGUUUGACGUUACGA